AUGUGCAUGAUUGAUACACAUGCAGGAGAUAUACCUGCUGCUACUAAGGAAGAUGUUGAUGUUGCUGUGGAUGCUGCUAAAAGAGCCAUUUCCAGAAACAACGGUAGAUAUUGGUCUACUGCUUCUGGCUCUCUUCGUGCUUGCUAUCUUCGAUCCAUUGCUGCAAAGGUUCUUAUUCUUUUUUCUAUUUUUGUUCUUCAUGGAUUAUGA